GGGUUGUGAGGUUAAGCGACUAAGCGUACACGGUGGAUGCCCUGGCAGUCAGAGGCGAUGAAGGACGUGCUAAUCUGCGAUAAGCGUCGGUGAGGUGAUAUGAACCGUUAUAACCGGCGAUUUCCGAAUGGGGAAACCCAGUGUGUUUCGACACACUAUCAUUAACUGAAUCCAUAGGUUAAUGAGGCGAACCGGGGGAACUGAAACAUCUAAGUACCCCGAGGAAAAGAAAUCAACCGAGAUUCCCCCAGUAGCGGCGAGCGAACGGGGAGCAGCCCAGAGCCUGAAUCAGUGUGUGUGUUAGUGGAAGCGUCUGGAAAGGCGCGCGAUACAGGGUGACAGCCCCGUACACAAAAAUGCACAUGCUGUGAGCUCGAUGAGUAGGGC
rnacentral:rRNA from 1 species